AUUGAACGCUGGCGGCAUGCCUUACACAUGCAAGUCGAACGGUAGCAGGUCUUCGGAUGCUGACGAGUGGCGAACGGGUGAGUAAUACAUCGGAACGUGCCUAGUAGUGGGGGAUAACUACUCGAAAGAGUGGCUAAUACCGCAUGAGAUCUAAGGAUGAAAGCAGGGGAUCGCAAGACCUUGUGCUACUAGAGCGGCCGAUGGCAGAUUAGGUAGUUGGUGGGAUAAAAGCUUACCAAGCCGACGAUCUGUAGCUGGUCUGAGAGGACGAUCAGCCACACUGGGACUGAGACACGGCCCAGACUCCUACGGGAGGCAGCAGUGGGGAAUUUUGGACAAUGGGCGAAAGCCUGAUCCAGCAAUGCCGCGUGCAGGAUGAAGGCCUUCGGGUUGUAAACUGCUUUUGUACGGAACGAAAAGCCCCGGGUUAAUACCCUGGGGUCAUGACGGUACCGUAAGAAUAAGCACCGGCUAACUACGUGCCAGCAGCCGCAGUAA
rnacentral:rRNA from 1 species